rnacentral:lncRNA from 1 species
CUUCCCCUUCCCCUUCCCCUUCCUCCCCUUCCCCUUCCCCUAUCUGCUCAUGGAUUGUCCUCUUCUCUGGCACCACAGGAAUGAAUGAAAUCCCAGGGCUGAUUUAAACUGCCACUAAUAUAUGGGAUUAUGGCAUACCCUGCUUUAUAUCCAGUGCCUUUGGAGUUUUUGAAAUGAGGUGGGGAUCUGCUUUCCAGAGCUCUCUGAGAAACUAUGGACAACUCAUGUAUAAAUGGAAAAACAGGACUUCAGUUGUUCAAGAAAACCAGAAUUGUUAUACAGAAGACAAUGAAUGAAUCCUUUUUUUCUGCCUGCUUGUAGAAUACGUGAGGUCUGCUGACCUCAAAUCACUCUCAGUUUGGGAAGCUGUGAAAAACUCUUCCUAAACUUCCCACUGAAGCUGUAGAAUGAUAUUGCAGAAUGAUACAGAGCUCUUUUGGCUACUGAUGGGACAUACUGCUGAUUUCAAGUCCAUGAAAUCUGGAGAGAAUUCAGGGCACACAGACUGGCUUCCCUUCAGCCAAGAUGAAAAAGCCUGAAUUCAAUUCUCCAGAUUGGAAGAUUAAGAGAUGCAGUGUCAGCCCAGAUCCUGCCUGAGAGCUUUGCUCCUGGCUGCUGUGGCAGAUCUUUGUGCUGGAGGACAGAUGUUCUACACGGUGCAGGGGGUCUGGGUCAGGCAGCAGCACUUGGAGCAUGUUGGAUGUUGGGAAUCUCCUCUCAGGCACCUCCCAGUUCCAGGCCUUAGCACCAGCUAUCAUGGGAUUAAUAAGAUACAUUGUUCCCAGGAAAAUAUGUGCACUCAUGGAGAACCUUAUUGACAUUGCUGCAGAGAGAGUGAAUAUGUGAAGAGUGAGAAAGGUGAUCAGGCUUCUGGAGCAGCUUCCAUAUGAUGAAGGAAAUUUGACAAUCUUCAGCCUGGAGUAGAAUCAACUGACGGAGAAUUUGAUAGAGAUCUACAGGACUGGAAAUGACAUGAAAAAGGUAAGUGUAAGAUGACUGUAUCUUCUUCACAUGUAGGAGAUGAGCAUCAAGUGAAACUAAUAGGGUGG